AGUGAACGCUGGCGGUAGGCCUAACACAUGCAAGUCGAACGGCAGCACAGUAAGAGCUUGCUCUUACGGGUGGCGAGUGGCGGACGGGUGAGGAAUACAUCGGAAUCUACUUUUUCGUGGGGGAUAACGUAGGGAAACUUACGCUAAUACCGCAUACGACCUACGGGUGAAAGCAGGGGAUCUUCGGACCUUGCGCGAUUGAAUGAGCCGAUGUCGGAUUAGCUAGUUGGCGGGGUAAAGGCCCACCAAGGCGACGAUCCGUAGCUGGUCUGGGAGGAUGAUCAGCCACACUGGAACUGAGACACGGUCCAGACUCCUACGGGAGGCAGCAGUCGGGAAUAUUGGACAAUGGGCGCAAGACUGAUCCAGCCAUACCGCGUGGGUGAAGAAGGCCUUCGGGUUGUAAAGCCCUUUUGUUGGGAAAGAAAAGCAGCAGGUUAAUACCCCGCUGUUCUGACGGUACCCAAAGAAUAAGCAACGGCUAACUUCGUG
rnacentral:rRNA from 1 species